rnacentral:rRNA from 1 species
AACAAGGUUUCCGUAGGUGAACCUGCGGAAGGAUCAUUAUUGAAUGAAUGUAGAGUCGGUUGUCGCUGGUCCUUUCGGGGGCAUGUGCACGCCUUCUCUUUCAUCCACACACACCUGUGCACUCGUGAGACGGAAGCCCUCGGGCGUCCGUCUGCUCUACAUAAACUCAUAUCUAUAAUUUGAAUGUAAUUGAUGUAACACAUCUUUAAACUAAGUUUCAACAACGGAUCUCUUGGCUCUCGCAUCGAUGAAGAACGCAGCGAAAUGCGAUAAGUAAUGUGAAUUGCAGAAUUCAGUGAAUCAUCGAAUCUUUGAACGCACCUUGCGCUCCUUGGUAUUCCUCGGAGCAUGCCUGUUUGAGUAUCAUGAAAUUAUCAAAAUAAUUCUUUCGUUCGUUCGAUUGAAUUUUAUUUUGGACUUGGAGGUCUGCAGAUUCACGUCUGCUCCUCUUAAAUAAAUUAGCUGGAUCUCAGUGAGCUCGGUUCCACUCGGCGUGAUAAGUAUCACUCGCUGAGGACACUGUAAAAGGUGGCCGGGAUUGCGGACGAACCGCUUCUAAUCGUCUAUUUACUUAGACAACAAUACUUUAUGAUCUGAUCUCAAAUCAG